rnacentral:rRNA from 1 species
GACGAACGCUGGCGGUGUGAUUAACACAUGCAAGUCGAACGAAGUGGCGAACGGGUGAGUAACGCGUAAUCAACCUGCCCUUCAGAGGGGGACACCAGGAGGACACGAGUGCUAAUACCGUAUACUGAAGGAGGGGAUUGGGUUUGAUUAGCUAGUUGGAGGGGGAACGGACAAACAAGGCGAUGAUCAGUAGCCGGUCUGAGAGGAUGAACGGCCACCUUGGGAAUGGGACACGGCCCAGAAUCCUAAGGGAAGAAGCCGUGGGGAAUCUUACGGAAUGGACGAAAGUCUGACGGAGCAACGCCGCGUGAGUGAUGACGGCCUUCGGGUUGUAAAGCUCUGUUAAUCGGGACGCGGUACCGGAAUAGAAAGCCACGGCUAACUACGUGCCAGCAGCCGCGGUAAUUC